rnacentral:lncRNA from 1 species
ACAACAUGCAAUACCAAACUCUUAAAUUUGAAUACAUUCUAAUUUCACUACAACAACAGAUUCCACACACUUUAUGAGGUCUUUUCGGUUGUAACGGGGCUUGGGUACGGUAGGAUAGACACAGAAAUGGAUAACAAAUGGUUUUGAACUCGACAUUCAUGUUGUUUGAUUUUCUCUUUUUUUUUCGUGCUUAACUCAUAACUCUGGGGGUUUAUUCACUUUUGACUCUUUUUAACUCAAUUCUCUGUGAGCAUUUUACAGGUGUUAGAGUCUUAAGUCUCGGCAAGUGCAUUUCU